AAAGAAUCAAGACAAUGGAAUACGCGCCGUUGAUACUUUUACAAAAUUGCUAACCGUGAAACGAUGUUUUGUCCCGAAACGUAGCAAUUUCUCAAUGAAAAUUAUGAAAUCGACGUAUAAAAUUGGCUGUAUUUCUAUUCUUGCGCGUCUCAUUUUUAACUCCGUUGAUCUAUUUUUAAACGAUCGGUCGUUAUUGUUGUUAAAUGAUUUCAUAAAGCGUCGUCGAGUAUUCGUGCACAGGCAAUUAACAAUUGUCCGUAAUUGUUUUUCUUCGCGAUUCUAUUCGUUAAUGGCGCGUCGAAACAAAAGCCAGCGAAGGAGAAAGCAAUUUAUGAUAGAAAAUCGGAUUGCGCUUGAGGGAACCGUACGAACGAGAAAAAUCUUUUUGAAGUGACAAACUAACGACAAAAGAAAAGUAACUGACUAUAUUCGAAUCGAUGUUUCUUAGAAGCGGAUAUUGGCAGCUUAUUUAACUAACAGAUGAAUCAUUCGUAAUGACGUUCAUACUUCUCUCUGAAUUUCGAUUUAUAUCUUCUGCGUAAUAAAAUUGUAUUUUGCACGUAAAAUCAAAAAACAAGAAGAUAACUGAAUUCACGGGAAUCUCAUUGAAACAGACGUCUAAAGGAUAUGUAUAUAAGGAAAUGAAUAUUUCACGAGCAUUUUAGGGCUCUCUUUGAAAUUGAUUCAUCUAUUUGUUAAUAAAAGCAAUUUUUCCUCGUACAAGAGUUCAAUAGUCGAUGUUUCUAUGAAGUCAAUAACAAACUCUUAAAUCGUUAGUUCUCGAUUAUAAUCCGGGUGUCCCGUUGUUAGUCGAUGCACGUGACGCUACGUGCUAGUCGAUGCUGUAAAUGGAUCGUCCAUUAAUAUCACGUACAAUGUAUUCCGAACGAAAGGGAAUCUUUGAUUGGAUGCCCGUGAGAAGUAUCUGGGUGAUAAUGAGCGCGGAUGCGUCAGGAACGCGAGCGAUCUAUGUCGGAUUUCAGGGUCACCACGAGACGAAGACCAUACAACUCUUCGAGGAGUCCACUGGUAAAUUAUUUCGGUUGGUCGCUAAUUUUGUCGCGGUAUGCCAUACCGCGCAGAGAGCGCGGUGGUUAACCAUUGCUACGUAGAGCGAAACAGUUUACUCGUUGUCUGCGUCCUUCCACGCUUAUCUCCCCGUUCUUUGCAUUCUUCUCCCGCACCCUCCUUUUCUAUUUCUUUGUCUAGGUUUUUUCCAGGAUAUUUGCUGGACGAUUGACUCCCUGUUUUCGCUUGUUAAAGUCAGCUAAUCAGUCAACAUUCUCCUCUAGGUUGAGAAAAGCAACCUUAUAGUUUCGAUGAGAGACGCGAAUUGCCCUGGAAAUGUGGAGAUUUCUACAAGAAAUGUAUGCGAUGUAUCGCACAACAGGUUAUCAAAGACGUAUUAACUUUCUAAUGGAAAUAACGUGAGCCCGAAAUAAAUUUGAUCCAGGCAUAGCGAAUUAGUCAAUAAAGGAGUUAAUUACGUGACGAGGUAGAAAAUAAAUAACGCGGUGACUACCCAAACUGUACCUAAAGCACGCUGUGAAAUCGUGAGAAGUUAAUAAACGCAAGUGCGUCAGCGAUAGCAAUCGUCGAACAUAUCUGUAUGUGUGUGUCAAAUCAGGAACGAAAGGAGAAGAAAUUGUAAGGUCUUCGAUAAAGAUGAAAAUGAACUGUCUCUGAGAUAAAGAUAUUUUGCUAUUAAAGGAAGAUAAUCAUUUUGAUCGUCGUUGACUAUAUACCUACCGUGGAAUAUAUUUACAUAUUCCGUUUUUGCUCUAUGAUUUAAUUACGUGCAAGAAAAGUCCGAAUAAUCUGAUAACGAAAAGACUUUACUUUGAAACGUGUCAACGUCAUUUUCCGUCAAGGUUAGUGUUAGUACAUUGCCGAAUUGUUUUAUAGAAAACACAUUUGUUUCUGUGUAGAGAUCAAUCGCAAACGUCGUAGAGACGCGCAUCUAUCGAUUUAUUUAGAACGAAAAUUUUUUAUUUCUACGAUAAAAGCUCUCGCGUAUUAGACAAACGAAAAGGGAUUAAGACCUUGGUUACCAGACCUUGGAUUCAGAACCUGAGUUAACGCAUCAGACAUUUGAUAUCGAGGUUAAAUGUUCCUCUUCGGUAGAAAAAAGAAGAAAAAACGAACAGUUUGUUUCUCUUAGCAAAAAUUGCGAGGGCGUCGAGAUUCCAUGCAUACUGAUUCAAGUUAAUAAAUUCAAAUUUUUUCAUCCGGAAUUCCGUGCGUUCGUCUAUUCUAAUCACUCAAAUUCGUUUUCUCUCGAAUUAAAUAUUUCCUGGGCAAGUUUGACCAAAAAUCGCAACUAUGUUAUAGUUAUGUAGCUUCAAUCGUAACGCAAGUGGAAUUUUUGUGUUGUCGCGAAUCAAAUUUCGACUUUUCUUUUUAUUUCGAUCAUCGGAGAAAACGAAUGCAAGGAAAGUAUUUACAGCGUUUAUCGAGGCGCCAGUGAUUCAAGAUCGUCUAAAUAUUUCGAUGCGCAGAUCACGAUUAAGCUUACAUCAUAAAUAUUUUUCAACAAGAAUAAGUUAUAUAUGAAAAUCUUUUCCGGCAGAUUGGAACGUCCGGUCAUGCCGCGACGUACGCUGAAAGUCUAUAAGCUGCUGAAGAGUAUUUUUGUCCGUGGAUAUUAUCGAUUGCAUAUACCCCUGAUUCGUCCUCCCUUUCUCUUGCACAUCGAACGUAUAAUUUGAACAUAUAGAUUCUUCUCCUUAUUUUAUUUUCCGUCUAUGUACGAGUUCUCCUAUUCCAAUGCUGAUAGACGUUUUAUGCGUAUCGUUUUAAGUUUACAAACAUAGAUCGCGUUCUGUUUCAACUUUACACAGACUGACAUAACAUGACGUAAACAAAAGAGAGAACCCUCGCAGGAGAAAUUAUGUUUUUUCACAAGUCUUAACACCUCUGUACAUAUUUUGUUCUUAAUGGCUUUAACAGAGAGCUACUUUUUAGAUUUGCUUCUAGAAAGAAAUUAUCGAUUCUAUGUACAUGCGGGAUUGCGAGACGAGAAUCAAGAUAUUUUCAAGCGGAUCUAAAUCGAUUUCGGUAUAAUUCACAGAUCAAAUCGUAUUAGAGAGGAAGAGUUUGACACGGUGGAACACGAGGUCGGUUCACAGUUUGUAAAUUCAACGAUGAGUGACGUGUCUCAAUUGUGAUUCACUGCAAUGCGUCACAGUGAAUAGAGAAUCUUAUUCUUGGUUCAUCGUGGCUUAUUGUUCGCAGUCACCUACUUUCAUUUGCCCAAUUGUAUCGUUUGCUUCGCGCAACACUCUAUGAACUAUGUGUCUGUAUGUAUUUUAAAGCAGGAAAUUUCACUCGGUUCCCGCAGCGUUCGAGAAAACAUUUAUUUUUCAACUACGACACGUUCGCAUUCCUAAAAGCCUUUCUCAUCUUCCUAGCAUAUCUAAUAAACAGAUGGAUUUUUUUAAAAAAACUACGCUAUCAUCGAUUUGAUGGAAAGUUCCUGCUCGUGAUUGGCGGAAUUUUACCAGUUUACUCCUAUUUGACCGUAUCACGUACUAUAAAUAGGUUUAAAUAAUCACGUGAGGCUUGCAUACUGACGUAAACGUAUGUAGUAUUGUAUAGAGUAUCCAUUUCCUAAUAUUAAACUGAUUUUAAGCGUAAUCGAGUUUAUCGACGAUAACUCGAUGUAACCAAAUAACUGGAAUUACUUGAUCGUUGCAUGUAUAUAUAUAAGGGGGCAGAAGAUAUAGAAGAGAGUGAUAAAGUUAUCUCGAAUUUACGUCUUCUCUGGUUUGAUCUAGGCUUUUUUACGCGAGAGCCUUUUAAACCUCUCGGUUUUAAACGCUGGUGUGAAAAUUCAAUGGCGCUCGUUGUUUUGGCCUUCCUCUCAGAGAAAUUGUAAAUUUCGUAAAUCGUCCACUUCGUUUAACAAGCUACUCCGAAAUAAAAGCUAAAAACACUCCGAUUCUUUUUUUCCUUGUGUUUUCACCAGAUUUACGAGAAGUUACGAAUACGCGGCUCUCGCCGAUCGAACGAGUACCCGUAAAAAUAUCCUUUCGGAAGACACAAUAAAACAUGAAAUAAAAAUAUUUAUCGCUGUUGAUUACGGUAGAGUAUAGCUUUUGUCAUUUGUUUAUUCUUUACCUUUCACUUUUACGAUUGGCCUUUAUGUGACUCGGUGCUUACGCCACUGAUUUCGCGCUAAAGAAUCGGUAAAAUAACGUAGACUUGUAAGAGGAAGGUUGGAGUAGUACGAAGUGAGAUUACAUGGACGAGAGAGGAUGAGAGACCCAACUUCAACACCAAAAUGGCGGAGACCUGGAGGGUUGAAUGUGGCACGUGUUUGACAGCCUAGCCCAGUGGCGUAACAAUAAAUUUAUACCUUUUCGAGCGUUUGCUAAUAACUAUCUCAUAACUCUGAUUCGUGGCAUGCAGAUCAAUCGAUUUACGAUGUUACGAAAUAAAAUGGUUAAAAGUAGAUAGCUGCUCGUACGUAUGUAGUUUCUUAUUCGAUCGACCAACUUGGUUCACGCUGCCAAAAAGGAAAAAGAAUAGGACAUCGGAGCUUAAAGUGAAUGUCAUUUUAUCGAUUGAUGAUCGAGUUAAACGGCCCCUCGUUCGUUCUAAAUAAAAUGUCAAUAAAUAAAAAGUAAGAAUACAAUCGCAAUGGGAUUCGGGUGUAAUACGGAUAUGUUUCUCUUUUAUUUGUUAAAUAUAUUUGGACUAGGAGAGCGAAAAAUACUAACAAAUAAUCAUUAGGAUGUCGAUAACAUUUUUUUAAUCAUUACGAACUAAACAUUCUAUUUCGACAUUCAGGAUUAUCGGAAAAAUUCUUAUUGCUGUUUUCUGAAUUCUACGCCUCUGAAGCCCGACCACCCCCGCGUACCACCCCAAGUACACCCCUAAUGACGUCAUAGGACAGUGGCGCCAACAACUCUGUACUGACGUCAGUCCUGAACAUUGGGCAACUAAGUUUCCUUCGCGCUAUGAAUUCCACAUUUUCCCCUUUCGUUUCGUACGAAAGGAGAAAGCAACAAACAAUACUUUCACGAUAUUGCGUCCCUUUCCCAUUAUCAGUUGAUCUUUCGUGGCCUUUUUAUUUCAUUUAUUAGCGAACGAAGCAUCGCGCGCGCUUAGAAUAGAGUAGAGUUUUACAUAUAUCGUGCUAUUAUCGAGUCGGCGUAAAGCAGUACCUCUGUCAUCGAUUCAUCAUGACGACAGCAAUGACGAUCUCACUCGUCGCUAGUUAUACGAGUUAUAGUUGUAAUUAUUUUACGUCAAACCAAUUGGUUGGUUCAAUUUAUUUUUCAAUUUAAACUGUGACGUUACAUAUCGGUAGCAGAACCAGUAAUCUUCUAAUCUUUCGCAUCUUUUUAUAAUCGCGAUGAACCAUCCAUACAAUAAUCGAUACGUGUUGUUCCUUACUUUUUUCACCAUCUUUUCCAUUUUUUUUUUUCUUUUUCUUUUUUGCCGAUUUUCCGCUUCGUGAAAUUCGGAGAUUCUUGAAUCGUCGAAGAGAAGGAGCUGUUGUACUCGUAUAUUUCACAAGAGAGCACGGUUCCAUCGGUGAAUCGACUUUUCUAAGGUCCCGUUUGUGCUUACGUUCGCGCCGCACUAUUCACACAAUUCAUUGUCAAUGUCGUACACACAGAACGGGGUGAUACUACGAAGAUGGCUGUUUAAAAUCUUUCAGUUUUACGGAUAUAACUCGCUUUAGAAAUAUUAGUAUUGCAUAUAUCAUUUAUCAUGCGAGACGACGUAAAUGCGCUGUUUAUAAAGACUUCCAUAAAUAUCGCUUGAAUGUUUAUUACGAUUGACGUUUGCGUGAUGGAGGAAGAAGAACAAAGAUGUACAUAUUUAGUGGUGAAACGAUCGAAAUUCCUAAAUAUUUGAACGAGUAAGGGAAAAUCAAGAUAUCCAAUAUUCCGAGAAAAUUUAUUAAAAGAUCUUGACGUUUGCCAUUGACGUCCCUUAAUUGAAAAAUAAUGCGUUCAACCGCAACGUUUUCAAUGUGUAACUCCAAAUUUAUGUAUAUAUAUACAUAUAUAUGUAUAUCCAUACAUGCAUAUUUGUGCUUACGUUGCAUCCUGCUUUCUCGACGACGAUUCAUUGCCGACGACGAUUCAGUGAUAUGUAUACACAUCGUUCUCUGCGAAUGGACGGACGAACGAACGCGAAUCCCUCUUUUUAUUGUCGCGACGAUGACGUCAAUUCUCUCUAAUCUCAGCGCUCAUUUCUGAAAAUUAUGAUAGUACCGGUAGGCCAACGUACCGUCGACGGACGUUUAGGACGAUCAUCGGUUUCCUGAUUACGACCCUCCUGCCUUGUACAAACGAUUUUACCUUGUCGGUUACGGUUUUUCGUUUUGAAAAUCAACCAAUCGAUACAAUUAAUCGUAUGGCAUUUGAUUCAACGUCAUUCGUCAUUUAUAUCUUAGUUAGAACGUUAUGAACAUUUUUUCUUUUAAUUAAAUACCAUUUUUCCUUGACGUUUGACGUUUCACGUGAUUCUAAAGUAGCGUAUAAAUAUGAUAACGUUCGAUGAUCGUAUCUUGUGUUCCGCCCUUUGGCUAGCGUUAAUUCUGAAGAAAUUAUGAUCCGUUAUCGAUGCUCACAAUGUACCAGUAAAAUUUAUGUAUGUAUGUAUGUGUUUUUUAACAUAGAUUUGCCCGGUCUUUGUACUAGAAACGAUAUUAUGUAAUAUUAACGAAAGUCGAGAUAUACGCGAUUGUUCUUCCUAUGAAAGCGACCUUAUAAUUGUGGCAUAUAUUUUUUUAACAUCGAUUAAAAGAAUAAUAAUAUUGAAGAUGAAGUUUAGGUAAAGAUAAGGAUAGGAAGGCACAAACUAGUAUUAUAAACGUUUGCAUUUGGACUCGGAGUUAGAAAAGAAAAGGUUCGGAGCUCUAUUAUAAAGUAACGCUGCAAGGGUGCGGACCAGGACUAGCAUACUUGUACCUAUACUUAAAUAUAUUUCUAUUAUACAUUUAUCCACUGGUUCCUCUCUAUUCUAUUCCGAGAUAAACUUCAAUAGCUAUAAAACGGUUUAACGAAUCGUUUCGUUCUACCAUGUUUUCAUUUUCUCUAUUUUACGCAAUCAGGAUUUAUCGUAAAAAUAACUUUGCGAUGUUCAUGUUCGACGUAGGACUUGAAAUUACAAAAAAAAAAAUCGGUUUUGAAAUUUCCACAGUCUUAUAGAUGUAGAUGUACCUAGAAAUGGACAAAUGUGAAUAAAGGAAAAUGUGAAGGUGAUAAUAAUAUAUCCUUCUCGAAUACUCAUUUGUUAAUUUUUAUUGUUAUAGAGGUGUAAUCGAAAUAAAUAUUACGUGAAUAUACAGAGCGUGCUAGAAAUACGAAAAGCACUGUGCGAAUAAAGUGUAGGAACAUCAUGACAAUUGAUAGAUAUAUAUAUGUUGUUCGCCACGUAUUUCUGGUUUUCUUCGUAAAAAAACACGCUAAAAAGGCUACCAUUCAAAACACUGCGGUAAUAUUUUGCAUAAUUAUUUAAUUAUUUAAUUUUGCAUAGUUAUUAUAAAAUUCUGUCGACUUUCCAUUUCCAGCAUAACCGAUAUGAAAUUAAUAAUUUCUUACAUACUGGUUUUCAUUCGCAAUUGUAGUAUACAUUAUUUAUACGUUACGUAAGACCUAGGAAAGCAUUCUCUGAUAUCGAUUAAGUGAAACGUUAGAAUAAGCGUAUACAGGAAGAUAAAUUACAGGAAAUAAAUACGACGAUAUUAUACAAUAGUCUCUAUACUCUAUAUAAUUGGAACAUUCACUAAGCAAUUUCUUCGCCUGAGAAAUAAAUAAUCAUUUCCUUUCUCCUUUUCUUUUUCGUUUCCUCGUUCCUUUGUUUUUCCUUUUUCUUUCUCGUAUCUCUGCCGCUCUAUUUGCAUAUCUGUAUUUGUGAUCUAUACAAUUAGAUUUACGUGUAAGAAUAUAAUAUAAAAUCGUUUGAUGAUGGACGUAAUGUUAAAUAAAUAUAGUAAUGUAAAGUUCAUUGAGAGGAUCAUUUUCAUACGAUAUUUAAAAUAUAUAAAGUCGUUGCUAUAGACAAACCAACAAAAAUCAAUGUUCAUUCUCGAUUCGGUGGUUCUGUCUCGACAGCAAUGAACCAUACGUGCGCAUUAACAAUAGAUGCAGAUAGUUUGAAGCUGAUAAAGGAGAAAAAAAGACUUAAAACG